GCUGGGCGCUCUCUCAUCAACUGGACCAAUAAACUGUUAACUGGGCCUUCAUACUAGCCCAGAUUUAUUUCUUCUUUGAGCUCGUCUUCGUUCCGAUCCUUUCCUCCUAGGUCAGCGGCACGCACUCGGCCACCAGCGGCGGGUGCGCCAGGCCGCCGGCUCACCCUACUGCUCUGCGCGAGCGCCCGCACACCCACACACACAAAAACUCAGGCAAAACGCGAGCAAUUGCAACAGGACGGCGGCGACAUUAGAAUCUGUGACUACAAUGGUGCAUGUGAGCGCUCGUUUACGAGCGAAUGGAUUGUUUUGCCCUCUUCCAACUUGGUUUCAAUCUCCUACAUGUCAUGUCUUGUUGUUGAUUCUUUACUGAUUUGGGGAUUAUUUUUAGGGUUUGCUGUUGGUGCUGAAUUGAAUUGGGGAAGAAAAGCCGCUACCCCGUAUGCCACUGAUUCCAAUCGAAAAGCUGCUAAAUCUGACUGUUGUUUUCUACCCAUGCUCCAAAUUUUUCAUUAGUCGUAAGAUUUAGGACAUGAGGUUAUUUUGUACACACAUAUGAUUCAGUUUCCGGUCAAUUUGUUUGAUGCUAGGAACCAAACUGCCUGUUUAGUUUAAGAUGUGAUAUCCCUACUCUGAAAUCACAGUUUGUGUACCUAGCUAAUUUUAACUUAACUAAUCUAAAUGUUAGGAAGGACCGAUGGUUUCUGCAUAUUAGAGAUUUGUCGCUUGACUGAUAAUAUGCCAUAACGGGAUUAGGAAACCCAAAGAAAUUCUUCAGAGUUCUCUUCUGAAAAUGAAGCAGCAGUAGCAUUUGUGAAGAUGAACGAUGAGGUAAAAUACAACUUCGGGCAUCCGUGCAUAAAUCACAAGCCAAGUCUUGCACGGUAAUAGACAACCCUCGGUUCCAUUAUUUUCCUUAUGCUAACAAUUGUUUUUCUACACAUAAUGAUUUCAGCUGCUUGAUGGAAGAAAUUCGGGAUUAGGAAACCCAAAGAAAUUCUUCAGAGUUCUCUUCUGAAAUGAAGCAGCAAUAGCAUUUGUGAAGAUGAACAAUGAGCUGCUUGAUGGAAGAAAUUAACAUACAUUGAUGCAAACAACGGACACUAUGAUCUACACAGCGAGUCAUUUCUUCUUUCCCUAAGAAAAAUAUCAUUUCUUCAAUCUGGAAUAUGUGAUGUUAAAUUGAGCACUUGAAAUGUGCCAUGGAUUUCAUACAUUUGCAUGGCCACCAAUGCGCAGUUUAAGUUCAAUAUUAUGCCCACUACCAUAGCGGGACACAGAUCUAUCUGUGUAGUUACACUUAGAAUUGUAGAUUCUCUAUACUGGAGUUCAAAUGUUAAAUCCAGUAUUUUAUGUCAUUAGUCUACUUCACGCCACAGCUCUUAAUUUUUCACCCAUAGUCGAUCAUUUAAAUAUUUUCCGUAUCUAUAUUCUACUUUACGGGUUUGGAAAAGAUUUGUAAAAUCUCCACGCGGGUAGUUCAAAAUUAUAUAUUUUUACCCUGGUAUUCAAAAUUAUAUAUUUC